rnacentral:ncRNA from 1 species
AAAACACUCCUGGCCAGACUGUCCUUUUGCUGGAAUAGCUGCCACUGGAAUAGCUGCCACUGGAAAUACUACCACUUCUACAUUUCUUUUUUUUAAAAAAAAAACCAAAAAACAAAAACCACAAAACAAAAACCAACAAAGUGCUUUAGAGUGCACUCAUUGAGAAGUUUGAUACACUUUUCUGAAGAAAUCGAAGUGUUCAAAGCUGACUUGCCAACGAUGAACUCCAGCCAGGAAUAACAGAAUAGGACUGUUUUUUGGAAGCAGGGCCACGAUUAAGAGCAAUGUCUGAGGGCAUUCGUAUUGUGCCACUUGAACUGGAAUUCUUGGACCAAUGUAAGAUGAACCAAAGCAAAAACGUUUGCCAAGAAUGUUCUCAUAAAUCAAGAACAAAAGCUGGAGGCUUGUGGCCAGCUCACUAUCUGAUGUCAUUACUCCCAUCACCCACCAGGCUGCUCACAAGACAUGCAAACCUUUGGAUU